rnacentral:lncRNA from 1 species
GCUUUUAAAGAUACUGUAAAAUCACCCGUGGAGCUGAGGUGGCAAUUCACCGAAUUCGAACCACUCUAACCAGCCGCAAGGUAAAAUCCCUGGAGAAGGUGUGUGCCCACUUGAUCAGAGGGACAAAAGAAAAGAAUCUCAAAGUGAAAGGACCAACUGGAAUGCCUACCAAGACUUUGAGAACCACUACAAGAGAAACUCCUUUUGGUGAAGGUUCUAAGACAUGGAAUCGUUUCCAGAUGAGAAUCCACAAGCAACUCACUGACUCGCGCAGUCCUUCUGAGAUUGCUAAGCAGAUGAC